GCCAGAUUGUUGUUGUUGUUGAUAAAUUGUGACCCCUUGUUGUGUUUUUGUAGAAGGUUACCCAAGGAAGCUUCCUGUAAAGUUUCAUUGAAUUUUGACUGGAAGUUGGCCAUUUUGUUGUUUUUGUUGUUGUUGUUGAUCAAUCGUGACCCCUUAUUGUAUUUUUGUAGAGGGUCACCCAAGGAAGCUUCCUGUAAAAUUUCAUUGAAUUUGGAGUGUUAGUUUCAGAGGAGAUGUUUUUUU